rnacentral:lncRNA from 1 species
CUCAACUUAAUAACAGGUUACAGGGAACAAAGGCCUGGAUUGGAGCAUGUGAAGUAUAUAUACUCCUGACCUCCCUAAGGGUAAAGUGUCAUAUUGUUGAUUUUCACAAAUCAACUGGUCCUUUGGGUACACACCCUCGCUUAUUUGAAUGGAUAUUGAACUAUUAUUCUUCAGAGGGAGAAGGGAGUCCAAAGGUAGUGUGUACAUCUAAACCUCCUAUCUAUCUUCAGCAUCAAGGUCACAGUCGAACUGUUAUUGGAAUUGAAGAGAAAAAAAACCGAACAUUAUGCUUACUAAUACUUGAUCCUGGAUGUCCUUCUCGAGAAAUGCAGAAAUUAUUAAAGCAAGACAUAGAGGCUAGCAGUCUCAAGCAACUUCGGAAAUCUAUGGGAAAUUUAAAACAUAAGCAAUACCAGAUAUUGGCAGUAGAGGGUGCUCUUUCUCUAGAGGAGAAACUUGCCAGGAGACAAGCUUCUCAAGUCUUUACAGCCGAGAAGAUUCCUUGAAGAAUCAAGCAUUUAAGCAUUUCAGUGAUUGAGAACAAUACUUUGUUUUCUAAAUGUAGAUAUUGAACUCCUUAAUACAAUUAUGAAUCUGUGAAUUCUCUUAAGUCUUAACAUAUAAUUUAAUUUCUAAAAUGCCUGUGUUAAUUGAAUUAUACCUAUCAUACUUCAUUGUUUGGUAAAUUAUUUCAAUAAAAUGUCUUGUUUU